rnacentral:misc_RNA from 1 species
AAUUCUCAACCUUUCUAGUUUUUAUUAACUAGUCAGGCUUGGAUGUGGGGGUUGCGGGCUUCUCAGAAGUCGGCUCUCCUUAAAUGCAUUAGUGAAACCUUUGGUUGACCAUCUCUGGUGUGAUAAUUAUCUACGCCGCUGAGAAUCUUCCUUCAUUAUGGGGCUUUGCUUCUAACCGUCUUCUCUGAAGACAACUCUUGACA